AUUGAACGCUGGCGGCAUGCCUUACACAUGCAAGUCGAACGGCAGCGGGCCUUCGGGUGCCGGCGAGUGGCGAACGGGUGAGUAAUGCAUCGGAACGUGCCAUUGAGUGGGGGAGUAACGUAGCGAAAGUUGCGCUAAUACCGCAUAUUCUGUGAGCAGGAAAGCAGGGGACCGCAAGGCCUUGCGCUCUUUGAGCGGCCGAUGUCAGAUUAGCUAGUUGGUGAGGUAAAGGCUUACCAAGGCGAUGAUCUGUAGCGGGUCUGAGAGGAUGAUCCGCCACACUGGAACUGAGACACGAUCCAGACUCCUACGGGAGGCAGCAGUGGGGAAUUUUUGGACAAUGGGGGCGAACCCUACGAUCCAGCCACUGCCGCCGUGAGUGAAG
rnacentral:rRNA from 1 species